UCUUCAAGAAGAGGCAAGGCUUAAGCAACAAGAACAUCGUUCAGUUCACCUUGUAAGUCAAGGAGCCAAAACGAUAGAGGUACCUGAAGUUAAUGGACCUCCUCAAGUAAUUGAGGUUCAUGAAAAGAGACAAAACAAUGUCAUAGAUCCACCUGAAGUUAAUGGUCAGGAGAUGAGACAAAACAAUGUUAUAGAGCCACCUAAAGUUAAUGGACCUCUUCAAGUAAAUGAGGUUCAUGAGAAGAGACAAUACAAUGUCAAGUGUUAUUUCUGCAAAAAGUUUGGGCAUGUUAAGAAAAAUUGCCACAAACGUAGGGCAUGGUUCGAAAAGAAAGGGCUUCCUUACUAUCCAGGCCUUAAACCCAAAUGAAAAUUUCAUAUCCAUGGGAAAUUGAGUCAAAGUUCCAAUUAUUGCCAUUGGGACCUUUCGUUUGUUUCUAGAUACUGAUUGUUACACAGAUAUGUUUAACACACUUAAUGUUUCUUUUACUUCUCAAAAUUUGGUUUCUUUGUCUAAACUUGAUAUUGAUUGAUGUGUGAUGGUGGUUUCAAA